GGGAAUGUGGCUUAGUGGUAGAGUGCAUGCCUGGCACCCAUGAAGCCCUGGGUUCAAUUCCUCAGUACCA
rnacentral:tRNA from 1 species